rnacentral:rRNA from 1 species
AUUGAACGCUGGCGGCAUGCCUUACACAUGCAAGUCGAACGGCAGCACGGGUGCUUGCACCUGGUGGCGAGUGGCGAACGGGUGAGUAAUACAUCGGAACGUAUCUUAUCGUGGGGGAUAACGCAGCGAAAGCUGUGCUAAUACCGCAUACGCCCUGAGGGGGAAAGCGGGGGAUCGAAAGACCUCGCGCGAUUAGAGCGGCCGAUGCCUGAUUAGCUUGUUGGUGGGGUAAAAGCCCACCAAGGCGACGAUCAGUAGCUGGUAUGAGAGGACGAUCAGCCACACUGGGACUGGGACACGGCCCACACUCCUACGGGAGGCAGAGGUGGGGAAUUUUGGACAAUGGGGGCAACCCUGAUCCAGCAAUGCCGCGUGAGUGAAGAAGGCCUUCGGGUUGUAAAGCUCUUUUGUCAGGAAAGAAACACCGGCUCUAACACAGUCCGGGAAUGACGGUACCUGAAGAAUAAGCACCGGCUAACUACGUGCCAGCAGCCGCCGUAA